CCUCACUAAACUGUGAACUACUUGUAUGUUGUUUUUAUAGUAUAAUGGUGAAAGGAAAAUUAACACGAGAGAUGUGAAUUAUUGAUUUUUUUUCCAGCUUAUUAAAUUUCUUUAGGCAAUGUGCCUGGAAAAUGUGAUAACUUCUCACAUCUUUGAUUAGAAUUCUUCACAUAAACACAUCAAGAUUUCUGGGUUACAGGCGAUGAACAGUGAUAAAGACUCUGGAAAUCCAUUUAGAAAUCAGAUCGAUCGAUCGAUCGAUCAAUGCACUGAUGCUCCUCAUUUCGUCUGUCUGCGCCACAGGCUUCUUGAUCUCAGCACUUGUGGGAAACCUUCUAGUUAAGACGAGAAAAGUAAGUAGACAAUCUUCCAUGAUUCUGGGCAUGGGGAAUUCUUAGACAAGGCAGAUUAAAAGUGCUGUUCCAGAAUAUAAAGCAGUGAG